AGUGAACGCUGGCGGUAGGCCUAACACAUGCAAGUCGAACGGCAGCACAGGAGAGCUUGCUCUCUGGGUGGCGAGUGGCGGACGGGUGAGGAAUACAUCGGAAUCUACUCUGUCGUGGGGGAUAACGUAGGGAAACUUACGCUAAUACCGCAUACGACCUACGGGUGAAAGCAGGGGAUCUUCGGACCUUGCGCGAUUGAAUGAGCCGAUGUCGGAUGAGCUAGUUGGCGGGGUAAAGGCCCACCAAGGCGACGAUCCGUAGCUGGUCUGAGAGGAUGAUCAGCCACACUGGAACUGGGACAAGGUCCAGACUCCUACGGGAGGCAGCAGUGGGGAAUAUUGGACAAUGGGCGCAAGCCUGAUCCAGCCAUACCGCGUGGGUGAAGAAGGCCUUCGGGUUGUAAAGCCCUUUUGUUGGGAAAGAAAUCCAGCUGGCUAAUACCCGGUUGGGAUGACGGUACCCAAAGAAUAAGCACCGGCUAACUUCGUGCCAGCCGCCGCCGUAA
rnacentral:rRNA from 1 species